rnacentral:rRNA from 1 species
UACAGAGGUCUCAAGCGUUGUUCGGAUUCAUUGGGCGUAAAGGGCGCGUAGGUGGCGCGGUAAGUCGGGUGUGAAAUUUCGGAGCUUAACUCCGAAACUGCAUUCGAUACUGCCGUGCUUGAGGACUGGAGAGGAGACUGGAAUUUACGGUGUAGCAGUGAAAUGCGUAGAGAUCGUAAGGAAGACCAGUGGCGAAGGCGGGUCUCUGGACAGUUCCUGACGCUGAGGCACGAAGGCCAGGGGAGCAAACGGG